rnacentral:rRNA from 1 species
AGCGAACGCUGGCGGCAGGCCUAACACAUGCAAGUCGAGCGCCCCGCAAGGGGAGCGGCAGACGGGAGAGUAACACGUGGGAACGUGCCCUUCAGUUCGGAACAACCAAGGGAAACUUUGGCUAAUACCGGAUACGUCCGUAAGGAGAAAGAUUUAUCGCUGAAGGAUCGGCCCGCGUCUGAUUAGCUAGUUGGUGGGGUAAUGGCCCACCAAGGCGACGAUCAGUAGCUGGUCUGAGAGGAUGAUCAGCCUCACUGGGACUGAGACACGGCCCAGACUCCUACGGGAGGCAGCAGUGGGGAAUAUUGGACAAUGGGCGCAAGCCUGAUCCAGCCAUGCCGCGUGGGUGAUGAAGGCCUUAGGGUUGUAAAGCCCUUUCGGCGGGGAAGAUAAUGACGGUACCCGCAGAAGAAGCCCCGGCUAACUUCGUGCCAGCAGCCGCCGUAA